rnacentral:lncRNA from 1 species
GUCGACAUCAUACAUGUCGAACCUUUUUCACUUGUUUUUUUCAAACAAAUCUCACCUAAAAUGAGAACACCAAAGAACAAGUAACGGAAAGGGACACCCAAAAAUCCCGACGUCGACACCGUUCAUGAGUUAGUUACUAUGUAGUCCAUUUUUCUAUAAAUAAAAUCUCAUUCCUUCAUUAUUUCUUACGAAUUCACUGAAACUCUAGAGAGAGAAACUAUAGAGAGAGUUCUUCUUCUAUAAUCUUG